ACGGGAGGCAGCAGUGGGGAAUAUUGCACAAUGGGCGAAAGCCUGAUGCAGCGACGCCGCGUGAGCGAUGAAGUAUUUCGGUAUGUAAAGCUCUAUCAGCAGGGAAGAUAAUGACGGUACCUGACUAAGAAGCACCGGCUAAAUACGUGCCAGCAGCCGCGGUAAUACGUAUGGUGCAAGCGUUAUCCGGAUUUACUGGGUGUAAAGGGUGCGUAGGCGGUUUUAUAAGUCUGAUGUGAAAGCCCGGGGCUCAACCCCGGGACUGCAUUGGAAACUGUAGAACUAGAGUGUCGGAGAGGUAAGUGGAAUUCCUAGUGUAGCGGUGAAAUGCGUAGAUAUUAGGAGGAACACCAGUGGCGAAGGCGGCUUACUGGACGAUUACUGACGCUGAGGCACGAAAGCGUGGGGAGCAAACAGGAUUAGAUACCCUGGUA
rnacentral:rRNA from 1 species